UACGAAGGGGGCUAGCGUUGUUCGGAUUUACUGGGCGUAAAGCGCACGUAGGCGGAUCUUUAAGUCAGAGGUGAAAUCCCGGAGCUCAACUUCGGAACUGCCUUUGAUACUGGGGAUCUCGAGUUCGGGAGAGGUGAGUGGAACUGCGAGUGUAGAGGUGAAAUUCGUAGAUAUUCGCAAGAACACCAGUGGCGAAGGCGGGUUGCUGGGCCGACACUGACGCUGAGGAGCGAAAGCGUGGGGAGCGAACAGG
rnacentral:rRNA from 1 species